rnacentral:rRNA from 1 species
AUGGACGCGGUGGAGUCAUCGUCGCCCUACUCCCCGCCCUCGCUGCGCCACAAGCUGCGCACCACCGUCUCCAGCUGCUUCGGCUCAUCAUCGUCGCCGGUAAGCGGCGGGGUGAGGCCGCACACCGGCGGCGGCAGGGCCAGGUGGAGGCGGCGCGUGGCGGUCGCGGGGGAGUUCAGGUACGACCCUCUCAGCUACGCGCUCAACUUCGACGACGGCGGCAGCGACGACGGUGACGCCGACGGGGAGGUCGCCGCCUUCCGGCACAGAAACUUCAGCUCGCGCCUGCCGCCCUCGCCGGUGCCGGCCUCCCGAGCCGUGGCAAUCGCCUGA